UGCCAAGUUAAUAAGGGCACAC
rnacentral:rRNA from 1 species